UCAUAAAGGCAUUCCUCAUCCAUCUUAUCCAGUCUUUACAGUGUAGCCAUAUCACCAUUUGCUUAGCCUCCUAUUUCCGAAAAAGUCAUUGCAAAAAAAA
rnacentral:lncRNA from 1 species